ACGAACACCAGUUCCUGUUCCUGCAGACCGGCCCUUGGGUAGUCAGAUGCUGUCUCUAGCAUUGGCCCCUUUAAAUCUCCCUGCACCCCUUUCAGGGGUGCAAAGUGCAGCUGCAAAGAAACGCCUCUGGUUCACUGUCUGCCUGAGCCUGCCUGCCUGCCUGCAAGCUCCCCACGAUAAACCUCCUAAUCCCACUUCAAGGAAUUGCCUGCUUUGUUUAUCGGUCUCAAAGGACAUUUUCGGUUCGGAGGGGGUUAUUCCACAUUCUCGCCAUCCAACAGCCGGACGCUAUGGAGCCUAUGGAGCGGCAGACCCUGGGGAUAAACAGAGCCCCACACAGGAGAAGCGUCUGGCCCCAAGACGCAAAGCAAGCCACCUGAGAACCAAAACACAAGUGAGACUCCAAGUUCCCAGGUGGUGGCUACGGCCAUAACAAGGACCUCCCAGACCACCAAUAAAACAAAAGCACAGGAAA